CAGGAAUUGAACUCAGGACCUUGCAAUUGCCAUGAAGGUGCUUGUGCCACUGAGCUAUAUCCCCACCCAGGCUGAAGUAGAAUUUGAGAUCUGAGGUGUUUUUAUGUUUUGAAAACUAGUUUCUUCUAAUAGAGCUGACUGCGAGGUCUCUGAAGUAAGGGGAUUCACAACGGAGUUCUUACAAGAGGUCCUUGAACCAUCUGGAUGGUGGGCAGUCUGGCCCACUAAUGUGCUUGAGGUACUGGUUGAGGUUACAGGCGUGGACUUUUCCCCUCGAAGGCAUCACUCGGGCUUGCCAAGCUGUGUGUCUGUGAAUUUGAAGUGAGCGCUUUUACCUUGGAGUAUAUGAAAGAGCUCCUCGAUCUGAAGGAGUAUCAGUUGCCUCUGCAGGCAUCGUGGGUGGUGUUUGAUGAUUCGAGGGGGUUUGAUCAGACAGCUCUUGCAACUGUCAGCACUUUCCAGCCAGGAAUGGUGGUGCACACCUGUAAUCCCAGCACUCGAAAGGCUGAGGCAAGAGGAGCACUGUGAGUUCAAGACCAGCCUGGGCUAUAAGUGAGUUCAAGGCCAGCCUGAACUGCAUAGUGAGACCCUGUCUCAAAAAAUAAAAUAAAAUAAAAGCACUUUCCAGUUUUUAUACCAUU
rnacentral:lncRNA from 1 species